AAUCUCAUUUUCAAAAGGGAUUUAGACACUUAUGAGCCUAAAUCCAAUUGCCAAUCAAUGAGAUUUAGGCUCCUAAGUGUCUAAAUCCUUUUUGAAAAU
rnacentral:pre_miRNA from 1 species